ACAGCUCCAAUCACACCACCACUGCCCCCGGCACCCGCCUCCAGCCUUCGGCCUCUGACUCCGACAGCAGCCGCCUUCAUUCUUCAGGAGGUGGUGGUUUUGCGGCGGAUGGAGAAGGUGGUGGGAGAGCAGUCUAUGGAUUGGCGCCGCUGCAAGGAGCGGUGAUGGUGCUGGUGUAUGGAGUUGAAAAUGUUGGUGAAUGAUGUGGGAAGCAAAUUAUUGAUGAUUUGCAGUCAAUUGAUGCUUAAACUGGAAUCGUUGUGUUGAUUUAGUGUAGUUUAUGCAAUUAUGUGCAAAUGAAUGAUACUAUUCUCUUAUGUGAA